rnacentral:rRNA from 1 species
GACAGAGGGUGCAAACGUUGUUCGGAAUUACUGGGCGUAAAGCGCGUGUAGGCUGCUCGGAAAGUCGGAUGUGAAAGCCCUGGGCUCAACCUAGGAAGUGCAUUCGAAACUUCCGAGCUGGAGUACUGGAGAGGAAGGCGGAAUUCUCGGUGUAGAGGUGAAAUUCGUAGAUAUCGAGAGGAACACCGGUGGCGAAGGCGGCCUUCUGGACAGUAACUGACGCUGAGACGCGAAAGCGUGGGGAGCAAACAGG